CUGGAAUGCGGUAGCACCCUUUUCAAAAGAACAGUGGCUGAUCGUUUACAAAUAGCCCCACUUGGAGUCGUUUUGCAUUAAAAUGGCGGUUUCAAUGGUGAUAAAAUGCGUGGAGGAAGUUGUUUUUUGCGUCAAAAUACGGAAAAUAAACGUAUAUGAGAAAUCACAAACGUGAAAGAAGGCAGAAACCUGAACCAGGACGAGAGGUUCCACAUCUGAUGAUCCAAGGAGACCAGAAGGACCUCUCCCAGUGAUACCAGGAGAUCCAGUCUACGGUCGAGUGUUCCGAAGGAAGUGGGAUCAGCCGAGGAGAGAAGGACCCUACGAGGUGGCAACGGCCACAAUCACGGCCGUCCAAGUGAAAGGAAGCAAGACGUGGUAUCAUCUAAACCACUGCACCCGAGUCCCGACGGAGAGAAGGACACAACCAUACAGAGAUGAGGACACAGAGGAUGCUGAUUCACCAGAGGGGACCCCAGAGGGAGCAGGAGCAGAGGAAUCGAUCAAAGCCCCGGGAGGACUCAAGAAAAUGGCAGACCAGAUACAACGAGUGCAUCAGCUAACACACUCAGAAGAAGCACCAGGGGAAAAGAGCCUGAAAAGAAAAGAGCCUGAAAAGAAAAGAGACAAACGACCAAAGUUUCCUCCAGUAUGGCCAGAAAGCCCAGAAGUGGGAGGGGUAACAUGUCUGCCACUCCUGAUGAUAUACCUGUUGGGGCAGGCCUCUUUGACAGAAGCACUCUACAGAGGGGCUCCGAGGUAUUGCCUAAAGAAUGGGAACAUCUCUUCCCUGAAAUGGACACCUUCCAAAUGGAAGCCCAGUCCGGCCUGAGGAGGGAGCUUCAGGGGAGGAAAGAAGGAGAGACCCCACUAACGAGAAGGAAAAGUCGAGUGAGCUGAAGAAAAUGGCAAUUUCCCCAAAAAUAGAUUUUUCAGCUCUUACCUGAUCUCCAUAAUGAACCAUUGGAAUUAGGACCACGAAAGAACAGUGACAAUGACAGAGUAAGAGCGACUGAGGACAAUACGAAGAUGAUGCACGCACUCACCAUCAAGAUAAAGGAUAAAAGCAUGAAGAGAAGAGAGGAGCCUGUCGAACGAGGUAAAAAGACAGGACCUGUUGAUAGGUUUAAGUUUCAUGUUCCGCCACAACUUCCAACAGAACCAGGGGAACAGAGGACAGUUUCUGUAUGGAAGAAGAAACCUGUACCGGAGGAGCCACUCUGUGGAUGGACGCGUCAUAUAACAAAGGGAGAAGCUGUUUGGGACCUCAAAGGAUGUGACCUGACACUAACCAAACGUGUGGAAGGCUGGGAGUUUAUCAUGAACAAGAUGACACCAGCAGAAGGUGAAGAAUUUGAAAUUGAAAUAACAAGAACAGGACUGAGUGAAGGAAACAGUUACGAAUAUGUUAAAUUGGGUCCUAUGCAAGCACCUGAACAAAAACUGCUGGUGACAACCAAAGUAAUGACAACAAUGGUGGCGGCUGCUGAAACGACCAACUACCACUGAGAUGACACCAACUGCUCUUACCAAGCAGACCACGGCAAUCACAAAGACACCUGACACAUCAGAGCCAAAAGGAUUCUUUAAUGAGAUUUGGAAUUCUUUUUCAAACUCAAAUGAUCUAUCUCAUGACAAGAACAUUGCCAAGAUGACAGAUAUAGAUGUAUCAGACUCAGAAUCGUUCAAAGACACCACACAGGAAGAAGGGUGAAAAACGAAUGUACCUGAACCUGCAUCGUUUGAAGAAAUGUGUUAAAUGUAAAAUGUUCAAUAUUCAGAGAAAAUACUACAUUCCUUUGUGUGACAUAGAAUGUAGGAUUGCCCAUGGGAGCACUAGAGGCAGGACUGUGUUGAACAACAUUGGGUUGGGUGACAAGGAUUGUGCUGUCUAUAACAUUUGAACUGAAUUAAAUGGACCUUUGUUAGAUGGAAACACUGUGAUUAAAGGAAUAUAUGAAUGUUUUAACAGCCAUAACACCGAAGGUAUUGAUGUAGGAAACACCACUGUAGAAUGUGAUACUAUUUGGGUACUAGAGACUGCAGGGGUUCGUAGAAAUAAAGAUAAAGGGUUGGUGAGGAAUAGAAAAGGGUUGUGUGGUAAAAUAACUCAGGUUGCGCCAUCUCUUAUUAUGCUAAACAAUCAAGACAGAGGUCUUGAGGAUAGUUCUGGAUGUGUGGAAAUAACAAACUGUUGAAUGUACUGCCAGAUGGAUCCUUUGCAAUCGCUAUGGCUAAACUUAAAGGGUUACGAGUAGAGGUUAAGGCAAAUGCUGGGGUUGACUCUCAUGUUUGGGAUUGGUUAGACUUAGCAUUGGGGAAAUGGGGAGCCAUGUUUGCUAGGAUGACCUUUAUGCUGGGAGGGGGGAUAUUGGCUCUGGGUAUUGUAUUUUGUUGUGUUUUACCCUGGGUGAAAUCACUUGUGAUCCAGACAACGGUUAAACAGAUGUUUGUAAGUAGAGCUGACACUCCGGUGAUAGUUGAUUCUGUGCCGGGUAGGCCAGGCCACUAUACUGAUGGGAAUGGACAGUUAUGCAAUGUGGUUGGUGGACCCCCUGACUGCCCUUUUGGUAAUCCAAACUGCCUGUAUGGAGUGGUCUCUGGAGGUGGUUACACUUGCCAGGGUUUUCAUGAGGAUGGUUUACAUGUAGAUGCUGACAUUCCAAAGUCAACUGAUACGUAUCCACAAAAAGGGUAUUUUCCAUAGUAAAUACAGGGGUACUAUGUAUUUCUAUUUUUGCUUUUGGUCUUGUGUUUUUGUAUGUUUUGUUGAAUGUUUUUAUAGGUAUAUCGAUGAAUAUAUCUGGGUUUUCUUUUAAUUAAAAGUUAGUUUUGCCAAAAACAUGAAGGUAACAGUGGGAUAUCCCGGUUAUAAGUGUCUAUGGACCAUGUCCUUAAUCUUUUAACAGAGGUUGGUAUCAUGUUUGUUGGAGAGGUGUUUGAGAGGGAGGAUCAUGUUGAAAGCCUAAAUGUAGAAUGAUGUUGUGUCAAUUUGACUUUGUACCUACAUACUCAUGCUUCAACAGAAUGUUAUGUAUUUAUUUUAUUGUUUGCUUCUAACUAGAUCUUUUACUCUUAUGAAAUACUAGAGAUGUUUGGUCUAAGUUAAUUAGGAAGCUUGAUUUUUGUUAAUCAACUGUUGAUAUUAUGUUCCGGAUAUGUCCUUUUAAGUUUUUUGGUGCUUAUUAAAGCACCAGAGGGAGGUUAUGUGGGAGAAUUAUAUACAUGAUUUGAUAACAAAAGAGAAAAUGUACAUUUAUGGGUUCAUUCCUGUUCUGGUAAAGUGCAUUUUCUAUUGAAUAGGGCAGAAAGCCGAGAAAGACCAUGGGAGUAUGGAACAGCCGGGAACACUAAAGGAAUGCAGACACAUAGACGCCUAGAAAUGACUGGACAUACAAAGAGUGGUGCGUCACCAAGAUGUGUCCCCCCGCCACUGGGGAAGGAGAGAUCGGUUCCGCCUGGAGGUGUCGGGGGGAGGGCAGGGGGCGAAACGGGAGGAGAGGCCACUGCCCAGAAUCGACCCACUAGCCCCCCGAGACUCCUCCCUCCCUCUCUCACUCACUCCUCUACCUUACUUCACAUUGCCCCAGAAAGGUCUGCUCACCAUGGUGUUUCUACGGUAACCAGAAGAGGAGAUGAUGUUUCCAUGGAGAUUCAGACCAAGAUCCCCCCCCCCUGUUCAUUCCCCAGACCAAUCUGAUGUGUUCUAGGGGCCAACAGUGCUGAUAUGUCCAACAGGGCUGAUAUGGUCUAGGGACCAACAGGGCUGAUAUGUCCAACAGGGCUGAUAUGGUCUAGGGACCAACAGGGCUGAUAUGUUCUAGGGACCAACAGGGCUGAUAUGUUCUAGGGACCAACAGGGCUGAUAUGUUCUAGGGACCAACAGGGCUGAUAUGUCCAACAGGGCUGAUAUGUUCUAGGGACCAACAGGGCUGAUAUGUUCUAGGGGCCAACAGGGCUGAUAUGUUCUAGGGACCAACAGGGCUGAUAUGUUCUAGGGACCAACAGGGCUGAUAUGUUCUAGGGACCAACAGGGCUGAUAUGUUCUAGGGGCCAACAGGGCUGAUAUGUUCUAGGGACCAACAGGGCUGAUAUGUUCUAGGGACCAACAGGGCUGAUAUGUUCUAGGGACCAACAGGGCUGAUAUGUUCUAGGGGCCAACAAGGCUGAUAUGUUCUAGGGGUCAACAGGGCUAAUAUGUUCUAGGGGUCAACAGGGCUGAUAUGUUCUAGGGGUCAACAGGGCUAAUAUGUUCUAGGGGUCAACAGGGCUGAAAUGUGAAACUGCAUGUAAAGCAUACAUUUAAACAAGUGGUAAACAAACAUAUGUGUACACUAACAUACAUGUAAACAAACCAACAUGUACUGUAAACAAACAUACGUGUACACUGACAUACACACAUGUAAACAAACCAACAUGUACUGUAAACAAACAUACAUGUACACUGACAUACAUAUAUGUAAACAAACCAACAUGUACUGUAAACAAACAUAUGUGUACACUAACAUACAUGUAAACAAACCAACAUGUACUGUAAACAAGCAUACAUGUACACUAACAUACAUGUAAACAAACCAACCUGUACUGUAAACAAACAUAAGUGUACACUAACAUACAUGUAAACAAACCAACAUGUACUGUAAACAAACAUACAUGUACACUGACAUACAUACAUGUAAACAAACCAACAUGUACUGUAAACAAACAUACAUGUACACUAACAUACAUGUAAACAAACCAACAUGUACUGUAAACAAACAUACAUGUACACUAACAUACAUGUAAACAAACCAACAUGUACUGUAAACAAACAUACAUGUACACUAACAUACAUGUAAACAAACCAACAUGUACUGUAAACAAACAUACAUGUACACUGACAUACAUACAUGUAAACAAACCAACAUGUACGGUAAACAAACAUACGUGUACACUGACAUACAUACAUGUAAAAAAAAAACAUGUACUGUAAACAAACAUACAUGUACACUGACAUACAUACAUGUAAACAAACCAACAUGUACGGUAAACAAACAUACGUGUACACUGACAUACAUACAUGUAAAAAAAAAACAUGUACUGUAAACAAACAUACAUGUACACUGACAUACAUACAUGUAAACAAACCAACAUGUAACUAACAACUAACUUUCUACUAUUAAACUCGGACAAAACAGAGAUUCUUGUUCUAGGUCCCAAGAAACAAAGAGAUCUUCUGUUGAAUCUGACAAUUAAUCUUAAUGGUUGUACAGUCGUCUCAAAUAAAACUGUGAAG
ensembl:lncRNA